CCUGCCUGGCCUGCCAGAUUCAGUCUGGCACAGAUCUCUGCUCCUUCUCGUGUCUCUGCAUUUACUGCACAUUCCAUUAUUGUGAGGAUAAGCUGCCUAACUUGAUGUGAAAGCCCGUGGCUUGCUCGGCCUUGCCAAGACAUUUUGUGUCAAUAGUGGGAAACUGACUUCUGGUUGCUUGGUUUGUUUAUUUGUUUUUGGCCAAAGCUUCCUGUCUUGAUUGCUCUCACAGUGAAUUUGCCAGGAGAUGUUUUUUGUUCUGUUGCAGGACAAAGCCUUGUGGAAUUCCCAAGACUUUCAGGGGGACACUGUAAAAGUUUGAGAGGAGUUGAACAGCCUAUGGACUUAACAACAGCCUUCUGUGCUGGCCUCUAGCCUGCUGAGCUCCCUGUACGCCUACCUUCCUCACAGUUAAUACAAUUUUAACAUAUAUCUGCAUAUAAAAACAUACAUGUGUUUAUGGCUAAAGGAUUAACUGGGGCAUGGGCUGCAGUGCCUGUGCUGGGUGUACCCCUGGCACAUGGGGUACCACUGUGGGGCUGGCACCCCUCCUUGCUGGAACUGUGUAAUUGUACUGUGUAAUUGUACUGUGUAAUUGUACUGUGUAAUUGUACUGUGUAAUUGUACUGUAUCAUUGCUGGGGGUGUCACAGGGAGCUGAGGUAGUGUGGGCUGGACUGAGAGCUCUGAUGGAAGAAUGGAGCUGCCGGGUGUUCACCUGUGAAAUGCAAGCCGGAAAAUUUGCAGAAGAAUUGGCUUCGGGAAUUUUAUCAGGCACUGCCCAAGGGCCCACUGGCACCAGGCUGCCUUCAGAGUCCAGCAGAUGACACUAAAUUUACCUGGUUGCUUCAUUUCAUUCAGUCGGGAGAGCAACACUAACCAAACACAGCCUGUGAAGCACAACUCUGCAACAGAGCUCAUCUGUGGACCCUAACCCCAGGCCAUGCCAAUGCUCCACGUGCUUUAUUGCUCCAAAUCAAUUCUGGAUUCCAAGUCCUGACCUUAUCUCCUUGGGGAGCUCUAUGAAGUGACCAUCAUGAGAAAGCAGCUGUAGUGCUGAGUUCUGGAAAGCCAGCACACCCACUCUGACUGUUUCAGGGCAGCUCUCACAGUAGCACCGACUGGACGUGGCAGGAAUGUGCUGAGCAUCGUCUCACACAUUUUAACUGCUGUGGGUUUGCUUCAUUGGAGCUCUUCUUACACAGCUAAUGAAAAUAUAAACUGAUAAGACAAUAACAUAAUAAAUUAUUGCAAGUCAGAUUUAGGCA
rnacentral:lncRNA from 1 species